rnacentral:pre_miRNA from 1 species
UGAUGAUGAUGAUGGUGAUCAUGGUGAUGAUGGUGAUGAUGAUGGUUAUAAUCAUCACCACCAUCAUCAUCACCAUCAUCAUCACCAUCAUCAUCAUCA